rnacentral:rRNA from 1 species
GACGAACGCUGGCGGCGUGCUUAACACAUGCAAGUCGAACGGAAAGGCCCUGCUUUUGUGGGGUGCUCGAGUGGCGAACGGGUGAGUAACACGUGAGUAACCUGCCCUUGACUUUGGGAUAACUUCAGGAAACUGGGGCUAAUACCGGAUAGGAGCUCCUGCUGCAUGGUGGGGGUUGGAAAGUUUCGGCGGUUGGGGAUGGACUCGCGGCUUAUCAGCUUGUUGGUGGGGUAGUGGCUUACCAAGGCUUUGACGGGUAGCCGGCCUGAGAGGGUGACCGGGCACAUGGGGACUGAGAGACGGCCCAGACGCGUACGGGAGGCAGCAGUGGGGAAUAUUGCACAACGGGCGGAAGCCUGAUGCAGCAACGCCGCGUGCGGGAUGACGGCCUUCGGGUUGUAAACCGCUUUCGCCUGUGACGAAGCGUGAGUGACGGUAAUGGGUAAAGAAGCACCGGCUAACUACGUG